UUUAAUUGUUUGGAGUAAAAAUUGUGGUGAAGUAGGCAGUGACGGAGGAUAUCCAAUUUUACAAGGUCUAUUAUCAAUUGGGAAGGUGGGGCAAGGAAAGGAAAUGUAACUGGCGAGUGUGAGAUGAUGCACAUUGGUAUGUCAGACGAGGACACGACUGACACAGUAAAUGCCAGAGUCCUGGAGAGUGUGACAGAACAAAGAUGUAAAAAUACGGGUGCAUGGUUCCCUGAAAGGGGCAAGUCAGGUAGGCAGGUGGUGAAUAGGCAUUUAGCAGCUUGCCUUCAUUGAGAAGGGCAUGGAGUACAAAGGUUGGGAUAUCAUGAUGCAGUUGUACCAGUCGUUGGUGAGAUAACACUUGAAGUACUGUGUGCAAUUCUGGUCACUCAGA